UCCACACCCUCUUUUUCUUUUGGCGCGCACGGGAUAAGGAGGCAGCAGGAGUGGGAUUGGCUGAUGUGUGGUCGUGUGUGAGACAAAGCCUAGCCAAUCCCUAGCAGUUCUUCCCCAAUCCACGCAGCUGCCUUUCGGCCCUAAAUCUUCCGCGCCACGAGCUCCUCCUCCUCCUCCAUCCCGCAGCCCCCCCUUCCCUUGCUGCCCUUUCCUCUCCUCUCUCUCGCCGCCGGCUCGGCAGCCACACGCGAGGACAGGCAGCGCCCACACGGAAAGGAGGCACGACCAUGGCUGGAGGGGAUUAUCGAACCGAUGUGGCAAUCGGCCAUCGGAGCUCCUCCACGACCCUCCCUUUCCCCGAGCUCACGCCGACACACCUGCCAUGGAGGAGCACGUGGGAAAGCAGAGGAACGAUGUGUGGGAUCGGACAGGAUCGUGGUCUGCAGGUGGCGUUGCUGCUGCUCUUCAACCAGCUGGUGUUCAUAUGGCCUGCAGCUCCAUCCACCAAUAGCCAGCAAGAUGUGAGGCUUCUCAUAAACCUAUGUCUUGUUGUAGUGGAUCGACAACAGCUGAAUUGGAUUUGGGACUGGAAGUCCGAGGAGGACGAGAAGGAAUGCACCGCCUUGGAUGCCGAAAAGAAAAAUUAUGUCGCCCUAGAUGAUAAGCAGGAGGAUUUUUAUUUUUUGUAUUAGCACCUAAAUCUCUAGGAAAAUCACUAAGUGUGCAUUAUCUGAUGCUAUUUUCUUCUUCCAUACCCGUACAAUCCCUCCCUGGUUGGUUUAAUAGUGCAACUGAACAAAUCUGCUUAUUUUAGUUUGUUGUCUUUUCAUUAGGUUUGUAUCAUGUUUCCAAAAGUUCUUGAAUCCAAUGCUUGUGAAUUUAAUAUGUACUUUUCUCCUGGCAGUAUCCAUGGAAAGAAGUUUUUCUUUUACCCGUGCAGAGGCAUGCAUCAGCAUUUCGUUUGUUUGCAUCGAUAAUGAUUGACGCAGGUGAUUCACCUACGCUUGCCGCUCGAAGUUUUGACAGUCCACGAUCUGGUGCUGAGGAAGUGGGCAUCCAUGUCCCAACUGGAAAGGUGUCGGAUGCAACCAUCGCUCAUCCGAAGCUGCUUUUGUAUCUCAAGUCCUACAGGAACACCGGGCCUGUUCUGAGACAUUAGUGGAUUAUCUGCAGAAAGUAUAAAUCUUUGAAAUCUGGACCUUGGAUUUGAUCAUUUGCGUUCUCUUUCAUCCCUGAAUAAGGCAAACUUUCUUUCUAAUUCAGUUCAGAUUGAAUUUAGUAUUAAUGUCCAAGUUUAUAACACAGAGAGGCUUCUGGCAUUACUUUUGUUUUCUGAAUACAUGUUAG